rnacentral:rRNA from 1 species
UACGGAGGGUGCAAGCGUUAUCCGGAUUCAUUGGGUUUAAAGGGUGCGUAGGCGGGUAAGUAAGUCCGUGGUGAAAUCUCUGAGCUUAACUCAGAAACUGCCGUGGAUACUAUUUGCCUUGAAUAUUGUGGAGGUGAGCGGAAUAUGUCAUGUAGCGGUGAAAUGCUUAGAUAUGACAUAGAACACCAAUUGCGAAGGCAGCUCACUACACAAUCAUUGACGCUGAGGCACGAAAGCGUGGGGAUCAAACAGG